rnacentral:rRNA from 1 species
CGGCAAACGGGUGCGGAACACGUACGCAACCUUCCUUUAAGUGGGGGAUAGCCCAGGGAAACUUGGAUUAAUACCCCUUAAUAUUAUUGAGUGGCAUCACUUGAUAAUUAAAGCUCCGGCGCUUAAAGAUGGGCGUGCGCCUGAUUAGGUAGUUGGCGGGGUAACAGCCCACCAAGCCUACGAUCAGUAACUGGUGUGAGAGCACGACCAGUCACACGGGCACUGAGAUACGGACCCAACUCCUACGGGAGGCAGCAGUAGGGAAUAUUGGGCAAUGGGCGCAAGCCUGACCCAGCCAUGCCGCGUGCAGGAUGAAGGCGCUCAGCGUCGUAAACUGCUUUUAUCUACGAAGAAUGUUAUCUCUGCGGGGGUAUUUGACGGUAGUAGAGGAAUAAGCACCGGCUAACUCCGUGCCAGCAGCCGCGGUAAUACGGAGGGUGCAAGCGUUGUCCGGAUUUAUUGGGUUUAAAGGGUGCGUAGGUGG